AAAAAUUAGGAUUUCAAAUAAGAUCCCAAAAACAUUUUCCUCCCAAAGUAAUUUAGAAUUUCAAAUUCCUGCUCCCCCAAAUCCAUUAACCCUAGACAAACUCACUUGGCAAACCACCUUUGCCGUGCGGUAACACUGCUGCCAGUGGGUUUGCUGCUCGGUGAAGGUUGCCGAUGUGGGGAAAGGUUGUCGAUGCGGGGAGAUGAUCGGAGGAGAGAGAGAGGGAGGGUAUGAGAGAGAGAGAGAGAGGGUAGUGUGGGGUGGGGUCCAUGUCAUCUCUCAACCAAUCACACCUUUUUUUUAAAGUUUAUCACCUCACCAAGUGUCUAACAAUUGCCAACACUUUUCAGCAAAGUUUAAACACUUUUCACUGAUUGACGUGGCACACUCUGAUUGGUUGAUUUUUUAGUUUGUCACUCUCAAAUGUUUAAUCACUCCUUAUACCCUAAGUCCCCCUGUAGUGGGGCGGUACGAGGGGCUAUAAAGCCCAAUGGCGCCGCCAAACACCGGGACGGAGGGCGCCAUGAAGGAAAAAGAGGGGUGAGGCGCGAGCUCCAUAGCGGCGCUAUGGGGUGUUUGAAUUUUUAUUUGUUUUUUUUAUUUGCUGGUUUUCCCCUCACUCACAAACAUAUAUACAUACAUAUGUUUUGCUCUGUUUCUGUUUUGUUGCUGGUACAGAGGAAGGAAGAACUUCUGGAAACGGCUGGAAAAAAAUAGGUUUUCAGUUUGUAUUGAGCUGUGAUUGAAAGAAUUUUAGGGUUUUGUUUUUUAUGGGCUUUGGGUCGGGCUCAAAAGGUUUUGUGGUUUUAUUGAGCCAAGAAGCCCGGUUAUUAUAAUUUGAGUUAAUUAGUGUAAAGUUUUAUUUAUUUAUAUUCUUUUAACGUUUUUUUUAUUUAAUAAAAUGGUUUUUAAUUUUAUAAAGUUAGAAAUUAAUUAAAAAAACGAAAAUUAAUUAAUUGAGUAAUGAUGAGGUAGGGGUUUUAUGACUACGGGCUCUGGUGACAUAAGGCCAUGGGGCAUGGGGCUUGGGUUGGGGCAUGGGUUGGCUAAAAACGUCCAAGCCACCACCCCGGGGGCUUGGGUUGGGGUGUGGGUUUGGGGUGUGGCCCCAUUGGCGUGGGUUUGAAGCCGGGCGUGGGGCGGGCUAGUAGGGCUAGUAAGGUGACAUGGCGGGCUCUCAAUGGCCAAACCAAACUCAUGCCCCCAACCAAAGCCCCACCAUAUCCCAUGGGCGUGGGUUUGAGUGGUGGGGGUCCUCCCAUUCCACGUGUCAACAAAUGCCCCAACCCAAACCCCACCAUACCCAAUAGUCUAACACCCCAUAAAGCCCCUGUAUAACGUGACAGACACAUGUUACAUAACGCCACAAAAGGGGCUUUAUUACACAUGGCCUAAGCCUAAAACUCAAAACACCCGCAACAAUCAUGGCUUCUCUAAAACUCAAAACACCCACAACAAUGGCUUCUCUAAUGGUGAUUCACAGAGCCACUGUGGGUGUUUGGGAUUCCUUCUCAAAAUGACUUAUUGAGUUAUAUGGAGCUAAAAGUCCUUUUUGAGAAGGAGAAGUUUAGCCAAACAUUAUUGAGAAGUUAGGAAGAUGAGAAAACUUAGCCAAACACAAGCUAGAAAAGGACUUUUCAAGGUGAUUUUUUGUCUUCAAGAAGGAGAAAAGGAGAAGUCACAAAUUGUGACUUCUUACGAAGAAGAAGUCCUUUUGAGAAGGAGAAGUCAAAAAGCUUAGCCAAACGUCACCUCCAAAAAACAAAAAGACAAACCAGGGGCGAAAAUCUACACACUGGACCAGUUAUGUCUUCAUGCUCACUACCAGAAUCAAAUCCAAACCCUAAACCAUCAAAACCAACCACAUGUUAACCACAUCGGCGGCAUACCAAUCAAGUUUCCGUACCCGCCGUACGGCUCUUUGCUGGCGUACAUCGGCUGAGUCAUCACAACUCUCGAUCGAGCGCAACGAGAAAGUCAUGAUUCAGGAGAUACCAGCAAGGUUUAAAAGAACGGAAUCGAGCCUCGAGGUGUUUUUCGUAACUAACUCCAUUAGGCGCACCUGAGGCGCACGUUUUCUUACUGCCUCAGCCCUGAGAGGCGUACAGACAAACAUAACCCGAUGAGGCGCUCAUACACUUUUUCUCAUGACCGAUGACACUUUUUCUAUUGAUCAAGUGAAGAAUAGAAAGAGUAAGGAUUCGAGAUCGAUGAAACUGUUCAAGAUCGCACUUGCGGAUUUUGUGAAGGAGGUAUUAAAUCCGUCAUGGAGACAGGGUAAUAUGAGUAAAGAGGCGUUUAAGACAAUCAUUAAGAAGACUGUUUAUAAAGUGUCGGGAGCUAUGAAGAAACACCAGAUACCCAAGUCCCAAACCAAGAUAAAUCAUUACAUUGAUUCUUCUCAAAGAAAGCUCACUAAGCUUGUAAUGGGCUAUGUUGACAAAUAUGUGAAGGUAUAGUAAAGACGUGAUUUGUGGCUGAAAAUGGGGAAUGGAUAUGAUGAAUAUGAUCAGGUAAGCAGCUCUUGCUGUACUGGUAGGAUAUUACUUGAACAACAUUUGAGAUUCAACGACACUGGUGUCUUGUGCUGAAGAACAUGGGAGUCGAAUGGCAAUGAUUAUAUCUGAUGGAUGAUCAUGUUGGGUCCAGUCUUCGACAUACUAGUAUGAACUCCCAUAAACAAGCUACAAACCUUAUGGUUGCUGCACCAGUUGUAUAAAUCGUACGAGCUCGUCAUCUUAGUUAAAUGCUAAAGCCUCAAUGACUAGUGUGUCACCACUGGGACCUCUUAGCAUAAAAAACAAGCACGCCUUAGUUUGAUGACAGAUUUUGACGACUUCAAUGGCCCUCAGGAGUACCAUACCGGCGACAAAAAGAGUUGAGAGAAUUGUGGAAUGACUUUUGCUCUGGUACCUUAAGAACAUAAGAAUUUAGUUCAUACCGAGAUUGUAUUGGUGCAUCCAUCGCAUGGCCCUAUCCGUUCAUCUCGAUAGUCCAUGAGGAUUGAGGGCGCAUGAUGACUCAAGAUUUUAUGAUUCUUAUUUCUUUAAUUGCUUUUAAUUUCUUUGUUAAAUAUUAAGAUUUUAUGUUAGAUAAUGUUAUAACUUAUUUAUGGUUAGUGUUUUUGUUAAGAACAUGCUUAUUUGAAAUAUAAUGAAGUUUUAUUUC